rnacentral:lncRNA from 13 species
GUUUUUAUAAUAAUGGAAAUAAUUGGCAGCAGUCAACAGAAACACCAUAGUUGCUAUUCUCUUUAAUGCAAUUGUCCUGUGAGAAUUCCAGGUAUAAAAAAUGAACCCACCUAGUCAUCCAAAUUUUGGAUAAUAAUCUCUUGAUUUGUGAUUUUAUAUUUACAGAUUCAGCCAUAUCUUCCUAGGACCGAGCAACCAAAACUGGACCAAAGACCUUGGAUCCUCAGCAAUGGGGGUGCAUCUGGUGAUGGUGUUCAUGCUAAAUUUGUGCCAAGGGACACCUGUUCUUGUGGGAGAAUUAAUAAAUAUUUCACUUCUGUUUAGGUUUCUCAUCUGGGAACUGAACUGCUAUAAUCAAAUACAUAAAGAAAUUGAGCUGCCCCUGUCUGAAUUCAAUCUUCACCUUCUGAUGCUGAUGAAACAGGAUUCAAUGCAGGGAGGUGCAGGAAAACCCGGUGAAAAUGAACUAGAGAAAAUGGUGGAGUCAAUCGUGAUCUAAAUUGGC